rnacentral:rRNA from 1 species
AGUAAAUAGAUACCCAGGUAGUCCACGCCGUAAACGAUGUCGACUUGGAGGUUGUGCCCUUGAGGCGUGGCUUCCGGAGCUAAACGCGUUAAGUCGACCGCCUGGGGAGUACGGCCGCAAGGUUAAAACUCAAAUGAAUUGACGGGGGCCCGCACAAGCGGUGGAGCAUGUGGUUUAAUUCGAUGCAACGCGAAGAACCUUACCUACUCUUGACAUCCAGAGAACUUAGCAGAGAUGCUUUGGUGCCUUCGGGAACUCUGAGACGGGUGCUGCAUGGCUGUCGUCAGCUCGUGUUGUGAAAUGUUGGGUUAAGUCCCGCAACGAGCGCAACCCUUAUCCUUUGUUGCCAGCGGUCCGGCCGGGAACUCAAAGGAGACUGCCAGUGAUAAACUGGAGGAAGGUGGGGAUGACGUCAAGUCAUCAUGGCCCUUACGAGUAGGGCUACACACGUGCUACAAUGGCGCAUACAAAGAGGAGCGACCUCGCGAGAGCAAGCGGACCUCAUAAAGUGCGUCGUAGUCCGG